AUUGAACGCUGGCGGCAAGCCUAACACAUGCAAGUCGAACGAGUGGCGGAAGGGUGAGUAAGGUCUGGGAAACUGACUGAUGGAGGGGGAUAACUACUGGAAACGGUAGCUAAAACCGCAUACCAUCGGAUGUGCCCAGAUGGGAUUAGCUAGUAGGUGGGGGAAAGGCUAACCCAGGCGUCGAACCCUAGCUGGUCUGAGAGGAUGACCCGCCACACUGGACCUGAGACACGGUCCAGACUCCUACGGGAGGCAGCAGUUGGGAAUAUUGCGCAAUUGGCGCAAGCCUGAUGCAGCCAUGCCGCGUGUAUGAAGAAGGCCUUCGGGUUGUAAAGUACUUUCAGCGGGGAGGCGUUACCCGCAGAAGAAGCACCGGCUAACUCCGGGCCAGCAGCCGCGGUAAUAC
rnacentral:rRNA from 1 species